rnacentral:lncRNA from 1 species
CCGCCAUGAUUGUGAGGCUUCCCCAGCCAUGUGGAAACAUAUUCGCAGAGCACCCACUAGGUGCCAGUAAAUGUAUGAGAAGUCCUGUGGAAUAAGACUGAAGUUGUCCUUGCCUUCAAGCAACUUGCAAUUGCCUAAGAACACAGUUUAAAACCACAAAACUAAGCCUUGGAAAUCACAUGCUGUCAUUUCUGCGAUCGGUCAUAACCAGUCCUGAUUCCAUGUUAGAGGAGACUACAUAAGGACACAGGUACCAGAAGAAACUUCUAAGUGCUGCUGUAUUUCACCAAGCUCCAGUUGAUAUCCAAAUUGGACAACUCCUGUGUGCCAGGACAAUUAAAAGGUAAAGUUGAAAAAUGAUUUGAACAACAAAGGCAAAUUAAAAGCCCUCCCUGGAGCAAAGAUUGAAUCAAGAGUAUGGCUGUUAUGCUUCUGUUAAAACCUCUGAAUCAGUUAAGAGAAACGUAUGUCUCAACAGGGCCUGAUUAUUCACCUGGGCAACAGAAUCCAAGAACAUAGGCCACAGAGGCACAGUAGCUGACCCACAGCCUCUAACGUGUAAACUUCCUAUGUAAGCUGUCUCAUUUUCUCCGAAGCCAUGUGCUUGUUUUGCAGUAUCAUGUGGAAGAAAUAUUUGAAGGAUUUAGACUAAUUUUAAAUCCUGCUUCUGCUGCUUGCCAGGAGCAUGUCAACAGGGCCACCAAGAUGACACUGAGGCCCCUACCCAGCAUCCCAAAGGCAGUAUCACAGCAAAAGCUUUAAAAAAUAAAUUUAUAUUUCCUUCAUCACAAAUGUUAUGAAUACCAAUUAUAGAAAAUGUAGAAAUCCAAUAAAUUAGAAAGAAGAGAGAAAAAAUUACCCAAAGCCUACCACUCAGAAUGAAAAAUUUGGAGUCUAGUGAAAAGAAGUGACUUGCUCAAAAUCACACAGCACAUGAAGAACAGAGCCUCUAUGAUGAAUUUCUUGACAGCUGAUAUAAGUCUUUUGAGGUACAGCCUGGCACAAAAAGGAUGAGAUUUGUGGGCAGAAUUUUGGAAGAAUAUCUCCCGAGAGAACAUUCAGGACAGAUUGCACUGCUUUGGAGAGCUGGUGAUGAAAUCCGGCCAUUGAAUUACACUGCACUAUAAACUUCAUUUGUUCUUGGGUGCAUAGUGAUUUGCUAUAAUAAUGAUCAUCCAUUUGCCAGACAGCUGAGAUUUUUUAAAAGCUUGAUUGCUUUUGGCAUGGCAUUAUUAGUCCUGGAAGAAGGCAGCACAUUUGUAGCAAUUCUCAGCUUGAGCAAACUAGAAUAUUCACCUCCCACAAAUGCUGGCCAUUUAAGAUCUGUGUGUUAGACUUUGGCAUUUUUUCUAGCAAUUCUACAACAGCAUACACACUUUUAUUUUUCAUUAACACCAUUGUGAAUAUGCCCAUCUCUAAAAUUUCAAGGGGGUUCACUUAAGCUACUGAGUUUUAUGGACAGAAGGGCCAAGAAAAGUCCCCAAAGAAGAGUGCAUGCUGUCAAUUGCCAAUUAUUUUUUUUUCUAAUGAAAGCCAAACAAUUCCAGACAAACCCUUUUCUAAGAAAUGAACUACAUAUCUGGAUCCAAAUAAAUACUCAUCUGAUAAGAAUCUAAAAGCUCUACUGAAUUACAGUGGAUGAGAACAUGAUGAUGGUGAUUCUUUGAAGAUUACUGAGGAAAUCAACUCUCAUGUCUGAUUCUGAUACUUUUAUAGUCCAUCCAUGUUGAAAAUGUCUAUGGAAUGAUUCUGUUGUACCUUGAGAAAUGAAAUUCAUAGGCAUGGAUUCUCUCACACAGCAACUUUAUACACAAAGAUGAGAAUAGAAGAAAGGUCAUUUCCAAAGAAAGUGACAUUUAUUCUGUAUUCACUGAAAAGCCAAAAGAAUUUUCUCAUUCACCCAUACCGACAGAGCCCUACAUCUCCCCGAGAAGAGGUGAAAGAGACUGCUCCUAUCUGCUUCUGCAUCAAACUUCAGGCUCAAGACCUGUCCAGAAAAAAAAAUGUCUUCUUUCAGGGAUGAACUGCUGUCCUCAUCAGACGCCUUAUUUUGUUUAGAAUUCAAGCUCACUUGACAGGUUAUUGUGAAGAUUAAAUGAAUUAAUACAUGUGAAGCAACUGUAACAACUCUUGACAUGCGUGGGCUGGACUUCCAGAAGAAACGUUGUCAGAACUCUGCCCAACUGAAAACAAGCCUACUAAAAAUAAAUAAAUAAAUAAAAUUUUAAAAAAUUGA